GACGAACGCUGGCGGCGUGCUUAACACAUGCAAGUCGAACGGAAAGGCCCCUUUGGGGGUACUCGAGUGGCGAACGGGCGGGUAACACGUGAGUAACCUGCACUUUACUUCGGGAUAACUUCAAGCAACUGGGGCCAAUACCGGAUAGGAAUCAUUACUGCAUGGUGGGGGUUGGAAAGCUUCGGCGGUUUUGGAUGGACUCGCGGCUUAUCAGCUUGUGGGUGGGGUAGUGGCUUACCCAGGCUUUGGCGGGUAGCCGGCCUGAGAGGGCGAGCGGCCACCUUGGCACCUAGGUACGGCCCCGGCUGCUACGGGUGGCAGCAGUGGGGAAUCUUGCACAAUGGGCGGCAGCCUGAUGCAGCAACGCCGCGUGCUGGAUGACGGCCUUCUGGUUGUAAACCGCUUUCAGCAGGGGCGAAGCUUGUGGUGACGGUACCUGCAGAAGAAGCACCGGCUAACUACGUG
rnacentral:rRNA from 1 species